CGGUCGACGCUGGCGGCGUGCCUAAUACAUGCAAGUAGAACGCUGAAGAGAGGAGCUUGCUCUUCUUGGAUGAGUUGCGAACGGGUGAGUAACGCGUAGGUAACCUGCCUUGUAGCGGGGGAUAACUAUUGGAAACGAUAGCUAAUACCGCAUAACAAUGGAUGACACAUGUCAUUUAUUUGAAAGGGGCAAUUGCUCCACUACAAGAUGGACCUGCGUUGUAUUAGCUAGUAGGUGAGGUAAUGGCUCACCUAGGCGACGAUACAUAGCCGACCUGAGAGGGUGAUCGGCCACACUGGGACUGAGACACGGCCCAGACUCCUACGGGAGGCAGCAGUAGGGAAUCUUCGGCAAUGGGGGCAACCCUGACCGAGCAACGCCGCGUGAGUGAAGAAGGUUUUCGGAUCGUAAAGCUCUGUUGUAAGUCAAGAACGGGUGUGAGAGUGGAAAGUUCACACUGUGACGGUAGCUUACCAGAAAGGGACGGCUAACUACGUGCCAGCAGCCGCGGUAAUACGUAGGUCCCGAGCGUUGUCCGGAUUUAUUGGGCGUAAAGCGAGCGCAGGCGGUUUGAUAAGUCUGAAGUUAAAGGCUGUGGCUCAACCAUAGUUCGCUUUGGAAACUGUCAAACUUGAGUGCAGAAGGGGAGAGUGGAAUUCCAUGUGUAGCGGUGAAAUGCGUAGAUAUAUGGAGGAACACCGGUGGCGAAAGCGGCUCUCUGGUCUGUAACUGACGCUGAGGCUCGAAAGCGUGGGGAGCGAACAGGAUUAGAUACCCUGGUAGUCCACGCCGUAAACGAUGAGUGCUAGGUGUUGGAUCCUUUCCGGGAUUCAGUGCCGCAGCUAACGCAUUAAGCACUCCGCCUGGGGAGUACGACCGCAAGGUUGAAACUCAAAGGAAUUGACGGGGGCCCGCACAAGCGGUGGAGCAUGUGGUUUAAUUCGAAGCAACGCGAAGAACCUUACCAGGUCUUGACAUCCCGAUGCUAUUUCUAGAGAUAGAAAGUUACUUCGGUACAUCGGUGACAGGUGGUGCAUGGUUGUCGUCAGCUCGUGUCGUGAGAUGUUGGGUUAAGUCCCGCAACGAGCGCAACCCCUAUUGUUAGUUGCCAUCAUUCAGUUGGGCACUCUAGCGAGACUGCCGGUAAUAAACCGGAGGAAGGUGGGGAUGACGUCAAAUCAUCAUGCCCCUUAUGACCUGGGCUACACACGUGCUACAAUGGUUGGUACAACGAGUUGCGAGUCGGUGACGGCGAGCUAAUCUCUUAAAGCCAAUCUCAGUUCGGAUUGUAGGCUGCAACUCGCCUACAUGAAGUCGGAAUCGCUAGUAAUCGCGGAUCAGCUCGCCGCG
rnacentral:rRNA from 1 species